ACGGAAGGCAGCAGUGGGGAAUAUUGGGCAAUGGGCGAAAGCCUGACCCAGCAACGCCGCGUGAAGGAAGGAGGUCUUCGGAUUGUAAACUUCUUUUAUGAGGGACGAAGGAAGUGACGGUACCUCAUGAAUAAGCCACGGCUAACUACGUGCCAGCAGCCGCGGUAAUACGUAGGUGGCAAGCGUUAUCCGGAUUUACUGGGUGUAAAGGGCGCGUAGGCGGGGAUGCAAGUCAGAUGUGAAAUCUAUGGGCUUAACUAAUAAACUGCAUUUGAAACUGUAUCUGUUGAGUGCUGGAGAGGUAGAUGGAAUUCCUUGUGUAGCGGUGAAAUGCGUAGAUAUAAGGAAGAACACCAGUGGCGAAGGCGAUCUGCUGGACAGUAACUGACGCUGAGGCUCGAAAGCGUGGGGAGCAAACAGGAUUAGAUACCCUGGUA
rnacentral:rRNA from 1 species